ACAUAACCAAUAUAUAUCUUAAAGGCGAACUGGACAAUUAGAUGAUGUCUUCUUUCUAUUCCAAUUACAGGAGUUGCAUAGUCCAGGCACAUCGUUCAAAUAUAUUCUUAUCAUGGGAAUGAUAAUACACAGCAGCACCUGGAGAUUGAUGCUUAUGUUGGCGGAGUAAAUGACAUUGCAUUCUCUGACCCAAACAAGCAACUUUGUGUGAUAACCUGUGGUGACGAUAAGACCAUCAAGGUAUGGGAUGCCACUACUAGUGCAAAGCAGUAUACGUUUGAAGGUCAUGAGGCUCCUGUUUAUUAUGUCUGUCCUCACUAUAAGAA